AUAAAUUAUCCUUAGCCUUCAACAGUAUAACAACUGAUAGAAUAUAAUAGACAACAAGUUUUAGAUCAACAACUGCAGCGGAAUAAGCAAUCCAUUAGAAGAGUCAAGUAGAGCAUAAAAUCUACUAUCUUCUAUGAUUUAAAAAGUUUUUCAUCAACUUUAUCGCUGAGACUCAGCUUAAUAAAUAAAAUCGAAUCAUCCCUGCACCACGGCCAAGGAUAUUCAUGUAAUCAUCAAUGGUCAUGAUUAUACCGAAUAAUCCCUGGUCAUAAUCAUACCAACAACUGUCCAUCAAUGAACUACAGGCCAAUGAGGACUUUUACCACAUCAUUCGUCACAUUACGGUCAUGAUUAUACCGAAUAAUCCCUGGUCAUAAUCAUACCAAGUCCAUCUAUGCACGUAAGUCAAAGAUGACUUUAAUCACAAUAUAAGCAUGAGGAUGAUGACAAUGACAUAAUAAUUCAAUAAAACAAGUUCAAGGAUAAAUUUUAAAGAUUUAUAAUUUAAUUUAUCCAGAAAUCAAUAACGUCCAAAUUAUCAACAUGAUACUGCUUUGUAGAGUAAAAUUCAAGAAUAAUAUUCAUGUACCAAAAAUAAUUUAGACAGAAAAGAAAUAUAUUUUUCGGGUGAAUAGUACUUCAGGAAUAGUACCCCGUGAGUAGUACCCCAACACGAAAAGUGUCUCGAAUACCCGAGUGAAUAGUAACCCAUGAAUAGUAACUCAUGAAUAGUACUCCGGUACGAAAAGUACCCCGAAUACUCGAGUGAAUAAUACCAGAGUGAAUAGUAACUGGGUGAAUAGUAACUCGUGAAUAGUAACUCGUAAAAAAAAUAUCAAAGAAAAUGAUAUUCCAUGACAAGUACAAAAGAAUUGAUAUCUCAGACGAGUAUAAUAGAAUAUACGAAACUGCAAAUGGAUUUUCACUCGCCAUAUGGUAAUCCACGUAGACAAAUCAUUUCCAUAAUUUAAUAAGGAAUGAAUACGCAGGAUCUUUCACCAUGCAUGCGGUAGUCCACACAGACAGGUUAUUCCAACAGAAUAAUAAAGAAUGGAAUAAAAAAAGAAUUCACCAGGCAUGCGAGAGACCGCACAGACAGGAUAUUCUAAUAGAAUAAUAAAGAAUGGAACCAGGUCAUGCGUAAUUCGCACAGACAUGAUAUACCAACAGAAUAAUAAAGAACGGAACCAGGUCAUGCGUAAUCUGUACACACAGGAUAUUCUAACAGAAUAAUAAAGAAAGGAAUAACAAUAGAAUUCACCAGGCAUGCGAUAGACCGCACAGACAGAUUAUUCCAACAGAAUAAUAAAUAAUGGAAUAACGGAAAAAUUUUACCAUGUAUGCGGUACUUCGCAUAGAUAGGUUAUUCCAACAUAAUAAUAAAGAAUGGAAUAACAACCCUUACAAGUAUUGAAAGAAAAUAAUUCUCUUCAUGAAUACGAAAGAAUAAUACCCCUUAUCUCAAAAGAAGACUGGAUACUAGAAUAGUGAGGUAUCAGACUUCUCUUCUUCUUUCUCUCUAUAAUUUCUCUCUAUAAUAAUUGCUCUAUAGCUUUAGUGAAUUGGUGAGAAAUGAAAGAAGAAUGAGCUUCUAUUUAUAGAAAAAUAUAGUUUCGAUAAUUGCACGUUUUGGGGCUCGAAAUAUUACAGUAUAAUACCUUCAUCUUUUCCUUCAUUUUUAAUUUAGUCAUGCAAGUAUUAUCAAACUUGCACCACCUCCCCUAAUAGUAAAUCAUGUGAAUCAAUAGUAAAUCAUGUGACUCAAUAGUUCUAAACAUGUGAAAAAAUUAAUUAUAGUAUAGUACCUUCAACUAUACCUCCAUUUUUAAUUUAGUCAUGCAAGUAUUAUCAAUCUUGCACCAACUCCCCUAAUUGUAAAUGAAUUUGAAUCAAUAGUACACAUAUGUGAAUAAAUAAUUAUAAUCAUUUGAAUCAAUAGCAAUUAAUUGCUCAUUUAUCCGGUUAAUUACCCGAUUGGUCAAUAUAACCUCUAGACAUCAAUUAUUAUCGAAAUAAAUAUCNNNNNNNNNNNNNNNNNNNNNNNNNNNNNNNNNNNNNNNNNNNNNNNNNNNNNNNNNNNNNNNNNNNNNNNNNNNNNNNNNNNNNNNNNNNNNNNNNNNNNNNNNNNNNNNNNNNNNNNNNNNNNAACCUCUCCUUGACAGAACUUCUAGACAUUGUCAAUAUUGCAAAUAAUAAUAUGAAUAACUUUGUCGUCUCAAUUAUUGAUUUAAUAAUAUAACAUAUUAUGCAGAUGAUACUGUGAAAAUAAUUGAAUCAAUAAUAUGAGAGAUAUGAUGCAGCAAUUACUGUAGCAAUAAUUGAGUAUAACUGAUUGACUUCUUACGUAAGCAUCAAUAAUCAAUACCGUGUGCUACUAUACAACCACGCGUAUUACUGUAUUUUUACUACCGGAUAGUUCAACAGUUCUAACGGUAACACUUUCGCCGUUAUUUUUAUAAAAUAAUAAUUUUGUCGUUUUCUAACUACGACAAUACUUCUGUUGUGGGGUCCACCAAUGAUUGUGCCGCCGUACGAAUAUUCCCUGUUAAAACGAAUAUUCACCGACCAAUCGAAUAUUAUAUAACAACUUGUUUACUUUACAAAAUUUAUAAAUAUUACCCACAACUAUAACAUUAUAUCAAAUUCACACCAUAAUAUUCAAAAAAAUAUUUCGAGAAAUUUAAAUCUUUAUUCAUAAAAUUUGGGGUCUCACAACAAUGGCCUGUUAAGUUAACUCCAGGGAACUAUCCUUCAUGGAAAGCUCAGUUUGAGUCACUGCUUUUUGGCUACGAUUUACUCGGAUAUAUCGACGGAUUAAAGCCAUGUCCACCUGCUGAGUUGACAAGUCACUACUACAAAACAGUAAAUAGAUAACGCGUAAAAAACGUUGUGGUUUCUGUCAGAAAAACGUCGUGAUUAAGGGUGUCAUCUAUUUGACACCCUUAUACAACGUUUUUAAAACGUUGUAGUUAGACACAUUCUACAACGUUUUUUAAAAAAAACGUUGUAGAUUUAUUUUCCAUAAAUUAGUAGAUUCUUAAAAACGUUGUAGAAGGUAUGAUUCACUACAAAAAAAAAAUGGGCCUUUAGCAACAAUUUUUCGGGCAACGACUUUAUAAGUCGUUGCUAAAAGUAUAUGUUUAGCAAUGAAAGUUGUCUUUCGUUGCAGAUUGUGCCAGACUUUCACUUUUUGCAACAAAAUUCAUAAGUCGUUGCAAAAUUUCGUUGCUAAUUCAUUGGCGGGAAAAAAGUUUGUUAGAAAUUCGUUGCAAAAUUUUUGGCCACUUGAUUUCCCGUCAUCGUGGGCAAAGAAAGUUUUUUUGUUGCUAAAAAUGGGGCUCUAGCAACGAUUUUUUAGGCAACGACUUUAUAAGUCGUUGCUAAAAGUGUAUGUUUAGCAACGAAACUUGUCCUUCGUUGUAGAUUGUGUCAGGUUUCACUUUUUACAACGAAAUUCAUAAGUCGUUGCAAAAUUUGGAAACAAAAUUCGUUGCAAAAUUUCUAACCACUUGAUUUCUCCUCAUCAUAGGCAACAAAAGUUUUUUUGUUGCUAUAUUUCGUUACCUAAUAUGGAUCACAUUCAUUGGCAAUAAUUUUUAUUUUCGUUGCAUAUUUUAUACAACUUUUUGCAACGACUAUUAAAAUGUUGCCUUAAAUUAAGAUAAUUCCAAUAAGCAUAUUUUUGUAAGACCAUAUUCGGUAUUCGGAGAAUUGUCAAAAAAUAUUCGUAUUUAGUAUUUAAAAAUUAUGUCCAAAUGCGGGACAUAUUUGAACCUAUAACCUAUCAUUUGAAACUUUGGUCAUUUGACUGCUGGAGCAACACAAGUUAUUUGUUAAUAUCUUGCAAAGAUUAAUAUUUAUAUCAAAACAUAAGAUUUCCCCCAUAUAUUCCUUUCUUCUUCUUCACUACAUACCAUUAAUAUAAUCUCAGGAAGUUAUAUAAUAAUAAUAAUAAUAAUAAUAAUAAUAAUAAUAAAAUAAAUAAAUAAAUAAAUAAAUAAAAAUAAUAACACUAUAAUUUCUGCUUAUAUAUGUCAAAUACUUACAAAAUUAUGAUAUUUAUCUUACCUGCUCUUUAAUUUAUUUAUUUUGCCUUGGAAUAUAGUAUAAGUUAUUCUUUUCAAUUAUCUUCUUCUUUUGCAGCAAAUAAUUAAUGGGCGAUCGAACACUUUUUUGAUGGAAAUUGGUAAUGAAAUAAUUAAAUGACAUAUCGAUGAUCAUACAUGAUCAAUAUACAGAAGAUUAUAACGUAAAUUAAUAGCCAAGUUAAUUAAUUUGUUUUUUAAUAUUGGACAUUUUAAAAUAAAGAAUAAUUAAUGUUAUUGUUUCCUGAAAAUCUACUGCUUUUUUAUUUUGUAAAAAAAAAGAAUUGAUAUAAUAAUUAGCACUUGGGGAAAAAAGGGAAAAAAAAGAAAUCAAACAGGUCUUUCCAUACUAACGAUCUUAUAUAUCACAGAAUAAAACGACAAAUUAGUGUGUUAUUAUUAUAAGAUAAUAUAUUUGUAUUUCAUGCAUAAAUNNNNNNNNNNNNNNNNNNNNNNNNNNNNNNNNNNNNNNNNNNNNNNNNNNNNNNNNNNNNNNNNNNNNNNNNNNNNNNNNNNNNNNNNNNNNNNNNNNNNNNNNNNNNNNNNNNNNNNNNNNNNNNNNNNNNNNNNNNNNNNNNNNNNNAUAUUUAGUUUAAUGUGGAGAUUUAAGAUGGGUAUAUAUAUAUAUAUAUAUAUAUAUAUAUAUAUAUAUGGUAAUAGAAUUUAUCUAAUACACAAAAAAUAUAACAUAAGAAGCAAAAAUAUCACAACUAGGUUUUGAACCUAAGACCUAUGGGUUAUUGAUCCAUUAUGCCACCAUUGAGUCAUUUUAAUUUAUUAGUUAACUAAACUAACGCCAUAACUUGUAGUCUCUAAUAUUUUUAAAUUUAUUCUACUGAUAUGUAUAUAUAUAUAUACAUACAUAUUUUUUUCAAAAUUUCUUGUUAAACUAAAUAAAAUACUAAACAAAUCUCAACAUUAAACUAAAUAUAUAUAAAGUAACUAUGAAUAUUUAUAUAUAUAUAUAUAUAUAUAUAUGUAAACAAAUAUUCAUAUAAAUAUUUAUAAAUUUAUAAAUAAAUAUUUGUUUAUAAAUUUUAAAGAUAAAUUUAUAUGAAUAUUUGGAGAUAAAUUUAUAUAUAUAUAUAUAUAUUAAAAUAUUCAUAGUUACUUACGUUAUAUAAAUAUUCAUAGUUACUUUAUAUAUAUUUAGUUUAAUGUGGAGAUUUAAGAUGGGUAUCUAUGUAUAUAGAUGGUAAUAGAAUUUAUCUAAUACACAAAAAAUAUAACAUAAGAAGCAAAAAUAUCACAACUAAAUUUUGAACCUAAGACCUAUAGGUUAUUGGGUCAUUAAGUUACCACUGAGCCAUUUUAAUUUAUUAGUUAGUUAAACUAACGCCAUAACUUGUAGUCUCCAAUAUUUUUAAAUUUAUUGUACUAAUAUGUAUAUAUAUAUAUAUACACAUACAUAUUUAUAUAUAUAUAUAUAUGUAAAUAAAUAUUCAUAUAAAUAUUUAUAAAAAAUAUUCAAAUCUAAAUAUUAGAUGAAAUCCAAUGACAACCGAUGUACCCGUGCCAUCUAAUGUUGCGAUCAACGGUAUAGAUUAUGGUUGUUGAAAUAGUACCCGUGACAACCGAUUGCCAAGCAUGUUAGUUCCGGGCCUCCAACCCAAAUAAACACAACCUCAUUAAAUCUGAUUAUUAUAUUUAUGCUUCCAAUGUUUCCUACUUCUAGAUAGAAUUAGGAUAUACUUACAAGUACUCCCUCACUCCGAGAAUGAAAAUGAUGAUUGAUUUUAUGCGAAUUUAAAAAAAAUGUCAAAUGAUAAAAUUAUUCAUAUUUAAAUUCUCAUCUAAUUGCAUAUUUUUCUAUACAUGACUAGUGAUAUUAUAUAAAUAUUUAUAAAUAAUAAAAAUAUGACAUUUAAUACUAAAGAUAUUACGCAAAAAUUAUUGUAAAAAAAAUAAAUUAUUUAAUAUAAGUAAAUAUUUAACUUGAGAUUACAUAAAAUAAUAAGAACUUUUAUUCUUAGACGGAGGGAGUAACUUAAAUCAUGAACAUAUUUUUAAGUCCAAAAAUAAAACAUAAAAAGAAGAAUAGUAAUGAUAUACCCCUAGUUAUUCUUAGUUCUCCUUUUACUUUUUUCCCAAAUAUAUUAUAAAAUUAAAUUAUAAUACUAUUAGUUAUAAGAGAAAACAUAAAAGAUGAAAAAAAGUUUAUUAUGUUUUAUGAACUAAAACAGAAUAAAGUUAUUUAAAAAUGAUUUAUAAGUCAUUCAUAAUAAGUUAGUUUGACCCAUAUUAAUGUAAUAUCAAUUUUAUCCCUAUUUUAUUUAAAAAAAAAUUUUAAAAAAAUAAAUUUGUAAAAAAGAAGAGUAAGAUGCAACGUCACUUUAAUUGGCGUUAGACUUUUUAUUUUAUUUUUUUUAUAGCUGAAGUAUUAUAUACUCCUUCAUUUCCAACGUCGAUGACUGAGAAUAAACAUAAAAAAAUAUUGUUGUUUGUAAACAAGUACAAGAAAUCAAAGAAAUUAAAAAAAAAAAGAUUCCAACGUCAGUUAAAGUGAUGUUACAUCUUACUCUUCUUUUUUACAAAAUUGCUUUAUAAAUUUUUUUUAAAUAAGUUAUAAUGCCGGUUAGUUUGGCAUUGGAUCAUAUUUUUAUUUUUUUCAAUUUUUUUUAAAAAAAUAAAAUCAUUUUAAAAAAGUUAAGAUACUUUUUCUAAAAUUCAUUUUUUUAAAAAAAUAUUUUUUAAAGUGGGGUUAGUUGCCUUUCUGAUUUUUAGUCAAAAAAAAAAUCAAAAAAUUCAACGCCAUUUCAAAUGGCUUUCAAUAGUAUUUAUUUUUACAACGUUUUUUUAACAAAACGUUGUAGAUAUAUAUGAAAAAAUAUUAUGUAUUUAUAAGGGUAAUUUUUGAUUUUAAAUAAAUAAUUUUUUUAAAAAAAACGUUAUCUAUAUAAAAAAUACGGAGCAAAAAAUAAAAAAGCGAAACUUAAAAUUUUGAAAUUAAAACAGGCACCAUAAUUGUUUAGAUCUAUUUUCUCUCUCUAUAUUGUAGCAAAGGAAGCGGGUGCCAAACUUCUCUCUUCCGCCCUCUUGAUUGUCUCAUGGUGGAAGCCAAAUCGAUCGACUUCUGCCCUCAAAUCAAUCGAACAAAGGAUUAAUCUAAGAAAACCCUAACUGGUAUGUCCUCGAUUUUGAACUCUUGCAAUAUUUUGCCUUUCUGAUUGGUGUAUAUAUGGUGUCUCAAGCCCAACUGAAUCAUACUGGCAAUAUCUCCUGCCAACCAAGAUAUAGCGACAUCAGAUGCUAUCAAGUUUGCUAAGGAAGUGGAUCCAGCUGGUAACCCUCCUUUAUUCCGGUGGUCCGUGAAUAUUUGGAUAAAAUCUAUCACAUAAGUAUCAUGUUUGCUUUUCCUUACGGUUUUCUGUAACAAUAUGUGCAUGUGAACGGAUAUUUGGAGUAUUGACAAAGCUUGAUUUGAUGGAUAAAGGAACUAACGCAUUAGAUGUACUCUCACCACUCUAAUUCUCUCUCCCCUCCUCUCUAUUACAAAAUUAUCUUAUUGUAGUAGGUGUAAAUUGUUAGUUUUUUGGCAUUUUGGAUUCUAAAGUUCUUUUUCUGAAAGGUUUUUGAAGGAAGAGCUUUACGUUUACAACACCCAUGGGUGGGAAUUGUGAACCGCUCACAAGCUGAUAUAAAUAAGAAUACUGACAUGAUGUCUGGAAGAAGGAGAGAACGGGAAUACUUUGCUUUAAGUCCUGACUAUGGGCAUUUGGCUAGUAAAAUGGGUUCAGAGUAUCUGGCGAAACUUCUUUUGAUGGUGGGAUUCUAUUUGUUAUUUAUCUGACGUGUUUAUCUCAGUUAGAACCUUGAUUUUUUUAAUGAUUUGUACUUUUAACUUCAGCAUUUGGAGGCUGUCAUUAAGGCAAGAAUACCAAGUAUUACUUCCUUGAUUAACAAAAGCAUUGAUGAACUUGAAGCUGAGAUGGACUACCUUGUGCAUUCUUUGUCUCAUUUUUUUUGCAUUCAUGCUGGUAAGGUAGUGCAAGUCUGUUAAUUUAUUAGUUUCGAUGUUCUAACCAACUGCAGUUUCAAAUAUAAUUGGGUUUUAGAAUGCGAAUUGAGCUGUAAAAUGCAUCUCUGUUUGUACAGUGUAGAGUUGUUUUAUGAUGCUUUUAGAGUAUCCAAUUUGAGCCAUGGGGGUGAAGGUUUUUGAUUGUGAUUUUUUUUUAAGGAAUAUAUAGUCUGUGCUCAUGUUUUUGUCUAUCAAUUAUUCUUGCUGCUUUUAUGAUAUUAGUUUUGGUUUUACUUCAAUUUCUGCAAAUUUGUGUAAAGUGUGAGAAACUAGAGAACACAAUGGCUUAAAAUUCGGGGUUGGCUCUUUUUACUUACUUGCUGUGCUACCAUACAAAUAUGGUCAUUUUUCAAAUUGAGCAAAAGUUGGGACAUCUCAUUCACCUAUGUCCCAGUCGCUCUCUUAACUUUACUUGCUGCAGCUUCAGCUUUGAAACAUUCUGUUUAGGAUUAUAGUGAGUGUGAGUGUGUUUGUGUGUGUGCAUGUGCUCUAUGUAGUUAUGAGUGAACUAGAAAUUGUCGAGCGAAAGCAUUGAUUAAUUAUAUAGAUGUAGUAGCUGAGAGGGGGUUCCAGAUGCUAAAUCUGCAAGUGUAGACACUGCUGAUUAUAAUGUCUCAUCAGGUCUUAUAAUGAGUCCAUAUUUUGCAGGGGUUCUCUUAAAAUUAGUUCAUAUUUGCAAUUUUGUUGCAGGUUCUCGAGUUGAAAACUGAAUUCUGCUGUAUUUUCUGUCGAGGCAAAUGGCAUUUUCUUUGUAAUUUUCACGUGUUCGAUUGAAAAAUGAGACUUUCAUGCCUGGUUUAGUUCAUUGGAUACUCAAAACUCCAGUACAUACUUAUGGGAAUGAUUUACUGUAACACGUUUAAGUACUAUGCUUCAGUUAAUACAUGGCAGGUGAUACAUAUUAGACUUGUGUUUUGCUAUUAUGCUCAAUUGCUAGUCUUUUGUGUGUUAUUUUGGGGGUUCUAGACUGAGAUUAAUGCUCAACUUUUUACAGAUAAUUAUGUAUCUUUGACUUUCUUGCAAGAUAUGAUCUUUUUUCUGUUGCUUCUUUAUGGUCCUCUUCCCUGGGUGCCUAUAGGGGCAUAUCUGAGUUUGAUUUUUGUAGAGUUUGGAGAGCUAUCUCUGAAUGCAUUUAUUUUAUUUCCACUGGUUAUAGAGUUUGGCUUUGUGCUCAACUUUUUACACAAAACUAUUUAUCUUUCUCUUUCUUGCAUCUUUUAUCUAUUGCUUCUUAAUGGAUCUCUGCUGUGGGUGUGUAUAGGGGUAUUUCUGUGUUUAUCUUUGUAGAGAUUGGAGAGUUGUCCUAUUUUGAUAUAUUUAUAGAUUUUUUGGAUUCCUUUGCCCCACCAUGCUUGUAUUAUCUGUUUUCAUUUAAUAAAGUUUUUCUAUCUUAAAAAAAUAUACAGUUGUCAUGAUCUACUGUUUACUUUGUACACCAAUAAUUUUGAUGGAUUGAAACUGUAACAAGUGUUUAUUAUAUCAUUUGCCUAUACAAUUGUUGUACACUUAAACUGAAGAUUUCUUCAUAGCAUGGCAUUAUUAUUUAUCAUUUAUUUUGAUGGUUUAAGGUUAACUGUCACUAUCAUUCUUUUUAUUUUUAUUGUGCAACUUAUAAUAUCAGCAUAUUGUCAGUCUUAGGGUGGAACUUCUGUCAGUGAAAAAUUACCUUUAAUUAACUUCUGAAUUGGUAGGAAAAAGAAAAUUUUAAGUUCAUAAUUUGGAAGAGUAUUUUGUUGUAUCAGUAAUGAGUAAUCUUCUACGACACAUUCUUCAAUUCACUAUUUGCGGAUAAUUUGUUUUAAAGUAAAUUUACUUUUGACUACUGGUGGGAUGUCCAUGAUGCACAUGGUGCCAUGUGCGUCUUGGGCCUGGGUUGUAGAGAAGGACUGCAGGCAGCUAGGGCAGCUGAUUAUAGCAUUGGAAGUAAGAUCUCUAAUGUCUUCUAUUUCUGUUUAUCAAAGUAUAUAUACUCUUCUUUUUCUUCCUGUAAAUCUUUGAUAGUCUUUCUGUAUAUAUAGUCUUCUGUUGUUAUGUAACUUGCAUUGCAUCGUAUAAAGAAUUUACUAGCCGUAAGAGCAGUGAUUUGUUCUAGAAUAAAGCUGGCUAUUUGGUGUUUAUAUUGAAGUCAUUUCACAGUUUCAAACACAGGUAGCUAAAAUAAAAAGUGAUGAGAGGGAGGAUCUAAAGGUGCUUGCCACAGGUGUUGCUGCGGCUUUGGCUGCAAGAAAGGUAAAUUGUAAAAGUUAAAAGUUGAGACUAUAUACUCAUCAAGGGAAAGAAAUAGCUAUUGUUGUUCUUAUGUAAUGACUUGAGAUGUGUUAUCCAAUGUUCCUUCUUCUAUCUUUACAUGUUCAACUGCUUAUUAUUUCAUUGUUACAAUAUUUUGAUGUGUUUCCUAUAUUUGUAGGCAUCAUGGAUUACAGAAGAAGAAUUUUGUAGUAGUGUAUGUAUACAUAAGCAUGUGUCUGAAUGUUCAUUUUCUUAUGAGUGAUGAUAGUCUUGUGAGUUUAUUCUGUCAUAGCUCAUAUCAUCUCUGCAUCAUUGAGGCCUUGAGAUUCUUCUGUUGAAAGCAUGAGCUUUAGCUUUAGGUGGGUAUUUUUCUGUACUCAAUAAAAGUUUCCCUUUUAUGGAAAUGGGAUCUACUUUUUUACAUUUUAUCAUGCCCCAACUGUGACGCCCCCAAAACAGGUAUACAUCACCCAUCUUGGGUCGCCACUUAUAUUGUACAAAAUUCAAAUACAACUUAAUUAUACAAACGUCGUGUAAUAAACGACAAAACAUAUGCUAUUAGUUUUAAUACAAAUAUUGUCAUCUAGACAAUAUCCUCACUCAAUAGAGUCCUCAUUACAUUUAUUAUCACACUAUUUAACAGAAUGGUGAGGACUACUAAUGCUAUCAUCUGGACCGUCACUCCGUUCCCUGACUCGUCCCAGCUAUAUUCUCAUUUCUUGAAGAGAAUAGUGAAAGAAAGGGUGAGCUCAACUAGCCCAGUAAGAAAUAUUAUGACUAAGAUAAUGCAGAAUAAAUUAUCCUUAACCUUCAACAGUAUAACAACUAACAGAAUAUAAUAGACAACAAGUUUUAGAUCAACAACUGCAGUGGAAUAAUCAAUCCAUUAGAAGAGUUAAGUAGAGCAUAAAAUUUACUAUCUUCUAUGAUUUAAAAAGAUUUUCAUCAACUUUAUCGCUGAAACUCAGCUUAAUAAAUAAAUCAAAUCAUCCCUGCACCACGACCAAGGAUAUUCAUGUAAUCAUCAAUGGUCAUGAUUAUACCGAAUAAUCCCUGGUCAUAAUCAUACCAACAAUUGUCCAUCAAUGAACUACAGUCCAAUAAGAACUUUUACCACAUCAUUCGUUAUAUUAUGGUCAUAAUUAUACCAAAUAAUCCCUGAUCAUAAUUAUACCAAGUCCAUCUCUGCACGUAAGCCAAAGAUGACUUUCAUCACAAUAUAAGCACGAGGAUGAUGACAAUAAUAUAUGCAUUAAUCAAACGAAAAUAAG
rnacentral:lncRNA from 1 species